rnacentral:pre_miRNA from 11 species
ACAUAUGGACUCACACUGAUUGUGACAGCAUGUGUAAGACCCCCGAAGGGAGACCCUCACUCAAAUCUCGGGAAUAGCGCGCACCCAGUGAGGCACUGAGACCG